AGGUUUAUAAUUCAAUUGGUUAGAAUGUGCUGCUCAUAACUGUGAAGUUAUAGGUUCGAGUCCUAUUAAACCUA
rfam:Blastocystis hominis, Singapore isolate B (sub-type 7) whole genome shotgun sequence assembly, scaffold_32